rnacentral:rRNA from 1 species
AAAUUAGUAAAAACAAGCGAGAUAUUGUCAGUAGCGGAUAGCGAAGAUAAUAAGAAAAUCAUUAAACUCCGAGCCAUUAAUGAGACCCAUUAUUAAUAGUUAAGGUGUUUAGAAAUACCAAGGCGGGUAACAGCCCCAUGCGAUUUUUAAUUAAUUACCUAGUUAUUAUAUAAUUAUAAGGGGUGGACCACGCAUCCAAAUUAAACGAGCCUAAUAGUUCUUAAUUGUUAAAGUUAAGCCAUAUUGGCUUUGUUAGCCUUCGAAAGCCUACCAAUAGAGAAAGUACUGUGAAGGAAAGUUGAAAGAGAGUUUGAAAAGAUCAAAACUUCAUAAUAAAGCAAACGAAAUCGUUGUACCUUUUGUAUAAUGGGUUCGUGAGAUAUUUAUCCGGCAAGCUUAAAUAAAUAAAUGAAGGCAUAGUGAAAACGAGCUAAGUUUCUUAGGUUUAUAUUAGAUAUUUAAUAACCUUAAUAGCAGAUAGUCGAAUAUGCCCGAAACCAAGUGAUCUAGUCGUGAGCAGCUUGAAAAGGUAUGAAAAUACUAUGGAGGAGCGAACCGGUGAUUGUGGCAAAAAUCUCGGAUGACUUGCGAUUAGGGGUGACAAUCCAAUCGAACUUGGAGAUAACUGGUUUUCUGCGAAAACUAUAAAGUAGUGUGUUAUAUUGCAAUAAAAGAAAUAGACCUAGUUAAUAUUAUUCUUAAUAUUAUAAUAUAAAAUUAAGAAAAAACUAAAAAGUUUUAGCAAGAUAUUAAAAAAAAUAUAAGAAACAGACAAUGAGCGAGAAGGUUAAUUGUCAAAAGGGGAACAGCCCAGAUUAGAAGUUAAAAUCACUUACAAAAGCUAAGUGUUAAAAGAUAAUAAGGCAAAAAUAAGGGGAGAGUGGGCUUUAAAUCAGCCAUCUUAUAAAAAUUACGUAAUAGUUUACUCCAAAAGUCUAUUUAAUCUGAAAAUUAAGGUGGCUAUGUUAGUUUAUUAUUUUUUUUAAUUUAAAAGGUGCUUAUUGAAUUGUUAUUGUGAUUUCUGAAUUUAUUUAUUAAUCAAAAUACCAAAACACUGUUUUUAUUAAAUUUAUAAUAUUUUUAUUGAAUAAAAAUAUUAAUAAUUUUUUUAAUUUAUUAAAAAAAUUAAAUAUAAAAUAAACGGCCUAACCCAAUAGCGAUUGGUAGGCUUUUAAGAGCUUCCUCUUUUAUUAUUAAAUAAAUUAAAAUAAAUUCAAUUAAAACUCUAAAUCUAUUAAUUUAUAGUCUUGUUUCUUAUGAAAGCGCUCAAGGCUUUAAGGGGGCUCUAUAAUAAAUUAAGAAUAUUGGUAGCAGAACGUUUUGUAAAAUAAUAAGCGAUAGCUUAUAUUAAAAGUGAUAAUACGAACAUGAGUAAAAUAUAAUGUAUUAAUAAGUGCAAUUGGGGAGAAACAAAAUUCUUUUUAAUAAAGCCGAACCUUAUUAAGGAACAAUUGCUUAAUAAGUCUCGGGCCCCAAAUAAUAAUUAAUUAUUAAAAUAAGCUUAUAUUAAACAUUAUUUAAGCCCAGGGGGUCCGGUUGAACAAUAAUUUGAACCGGUUAAACAGCCUUUAAGAUUAAUGUAUCGAAAAGAGAUAUGUCGAGACAUCUGGAAAAAUUUAAAUUAAAUUAUAAGUCUAUAAAGAACUAUUUAGUUAUAAGAAACUUAUAAGUUAUUUAAUAAAAACUGAAAAAGUUAAAAAAUAAACUGUACCAACUAAAAAAAGUGGGCAAAAAUGUGGAAAAAUUAGUCUUAAGGAACUCGGCAAAUUGCUCUUGUAAGGUUUCGAAAAAAGAGGGUAUAUUGUGUUAUUUAGUCUAUUAUUAAUAAAUUAUUAAAUAACGAACAUACCGGCAGAAAAGAGGGGGCGCCGACAGUUUACCAAAAACCUAGCUUUCAGCAAAUAUUGAAAGUGAUGCCUGCCCCAUGGUUGAGUUAUAACUCAAUAAUUAGCGUUAUUAGAGAAAAAUCAAUUAAAUGGCCGCGGUAUUUUGACCGUGUGAAAGUAGCGCAAUUAAUCGCUAACUAAUUAUUAGCAAGUAUGAAGGGUGUAACGAGUGUCUCACUGUCUCAAGACUAAGUCCAGUGAAAUUGAAAUCAUAGUGAAGAUGCUAUGCAAAGUUGUUAGACGAGAAGACCCCGUGAGCUUUACUGUUAAUUUUUAUAAAAAAUUUAUUAAAAAAUGUUAAUAAUUAUAUUAAUAAAUUAAAUAAUAAUAGAAACCUGUUAUUUUCUAUUUAAUUUUUUUAAUAAAUUAAAAAAAUUAUUAAUAUUUUUAUUCAAUAAAAAUAUUAUAUAUAUUUAUAUUAGUUAAUAAUAAGAGUAUUUUUGGUAUUUUCUUAAUAAAAUUAUGUAGAAAUCAGACAGUUUGGUUGGGGCGACACCCUUUUAAAAAGUAACAAAGGGGGACAUAAAGUAAAUAAUUUAUAAUUAAAAGCUUGACAGUAAGGGAAACGAUCCUAACUGACACUAAACUUAAUAAUCUUUAUUAUUACCAAUAAUUAAGAUUAGAGAGCCCUUAGUGAGUUAUAGUGACCCGUUAAUUAAAAGUGGGAGGAUUAACGAACAACGGAGAAAAGUUACUGCGGGGAUAACAGGGUAAUGUCGUUUGAGAGCCCAUAUCGAUGACGAAGUUUGCCACCUCGAUGUUGAAUUGUGGUAUCCUGGGGGUGUAGCCGCUCCCAAGGGUUGGACUGUUCGUCCAUUAAAACCGCACAUGAUUUGAGUUCAGACCGGCGUGAGCUAGGUCGGUUUCUAUCUACAAUUUAAUAAAAUGGUUUAUAUUUUAGUACGAAAGGACCAAAUAAAAGUGUCUUAUGGUGAGUCAAUUACUUCUUGUUGUUGAGUAGCUAAGACAAAAGGUUAAUCACUGAAAACAUCUCAAGUGAGAAACUCACUAUUUUAAACAGUCGUUUAAAACGCUUAAUUAAUCAAAAAAUCAAAAACUUAAGGAUUUAUGUUUAACUAAAAUAAUAUUAAGUUAUUCUUGUGUGUUUAUAAAUAUAAGUGGCUCUUAUUAAGUUAGUUAAUAAUGGUUAUUCUUAAUAAUCACUAACUAAAUAAUAAUAAAAAUCAUUUAAAAACUAAAUUAUUACUAAAAACUAAAUAUGUUUUUACUAAGAGGUUAGUUGAGUUAUAACAACAAUACUAAUUUUA